GUGCCCAUAGCUCAGCCGGAAGAGCAGGAGAUUUCUAAUCUCCCGGUCGGUGGUUCGAACCCACCUGGGCGCGCCC
rnacentral:tRNA from 1 species